rnacentral:rRNA from 1 species
UAGCCUUGACAUUGAUUGAACACACUAGAGAUAGAGUGGUGCCCUUCGGGGAACAUGAAAACAGGUGCUGCACGGCUGUCGUCAGCUCGUGUCGUGAGAUGUUGGGUUAAGUCCCGCAACGAGCGCAACCCUCGUCCUUAGUUGCUAGCAGUUCGGCUGAGCACUCUAAGGAGACUGCCUUCGUAAGGAGGAGGAAGGUGAGGACGACGUCAAGUCAUCAUGGCCCCUAUGGCUAGGGCUACACACGUGCUACAAUGGGGCGUACAGAGUGUUGCGAUACCGCGAGGUGGAGCUAAUCACUUAAAGCGUCUCUCAGUUCGGAUUGGAGUCUGCAACUCGACUCCAUGAAGCUGGAAUCACUAGUAAUCGUAGAUCAGCAAUGCUACGGUGAAUACGUUCCCGGGUCU